AAUCUUCACACAACCCAUGUAAUACAUAAGGGACAGAGAUACAUAGUUGGCUUACAAUCGCCACUUCACACAAUUACAUGAAUAAAGCAUUACAUCAUCCAAAUACAAUCAAGGUCCGACUACGGAACCAAAAUAAAAGAAGACUACCCCAAAUGCUACACAGAUCCCCGAUCGACCCCAACUGGGCUCCACUACCGAUCAACUAGAACAAAACAACACAAGGGACAAGAUCUUCAUCGAGCUCCUCCUGAGCUUGGUUGCGUCAUCUGCAUGGACUCAUCGGCACCUACAAGCUGGUUUUGGAAGUAUCUGUGAGUCACGGGGACUCAGCAAUCUCACACCCUCGCGAUCAAGACUAUUUAAGCUUAAGGGUAAGGUAAAAGUAUGAGGUGGAGCUGCAGCAAGCGACUAGCAUAUAUGGUGGCUAACAUACGCAAAAGAGAGCGAGAAGAGAAGGCAAAGCACGAUCGAACAACUAUGAUCAAGAAGUGAUCCUAGAACAACCUACGUCAAGCAUAACUUCAACACCGUGUUCAUUUCCCGGACUCCGCCGGAAAGAGACCAUCACGAUUACACAUGCGGUUGAUGUAUUUUAAUUAAGGUCAACUUCUGGUUUUCUACAACCAGACAUUAACAAAUUCCCAUCUGCCCAUAACCGCGGGCACGGCUUUCGAAAGUUCAAAUCCCUGCAGGGGUGUCCCAACUUAGCCCAUCACAAGCUCUCACGGUCAACGAAGGAUAUUCCUUCUAGCGGGAAGACCCGAUCAGACUCGGAAUCCCGGUUACAAGACAUUUCAACAAUGGUAAAACAAGUCCAGCAACACCGCCCGAAUGUGCCGACAAAUCCCGAUAGGAUCUGCACAUAUCUCGUUCUUAGGGCACACUCAGAUGAGACUAGCUACGAGUAAAACCAACCCUCAAGUUUCCCCGAGGUGGCCCCGCAGGCAGCUCAGUUCGGACCAACACUUAGAGGAGCACUGGCCCGGGGGGUUAAAAUAAAGAUGACCCUCAGGAGCGCGACUCCCAAGGGAAAAGAAAAGGCUAGGUGGCGAAUGGUAAAACCAAUGUUGGGCAUUGCUGGAGGAGUUUUAUUCAAGGCGAACUGUCAAGGGGUUCCCAUUAUAACCCAACCGCGUAAGGAACGCAAAAUCUGGGAACAUAACACCGAUAUGACGGAAACUAGGGCGGCAAGAGUGGAACAAAACACCAGGCAUAAGGCCGAGCCUUCCACCCUUUACCAAGUAUAUAGAUGCAUUAAUUAAAUAAGAGAUAUUGUGAUAUCCCAACAAGUAAACAUGUUCCAACAAGGAACAACAUCUCCAUGUUCCAACAAGGAACAAACUUUAAUCUUCACUUGCAACUAACAACGCUAUAAGAGGGGCUGAGCAAAGCGGUAACAUAGCCAAACAACGGUUUGCUAGGACAAGGUGGGUUAGAGGCUUGGUUCAACAAUAUGGGAGGCAUGAUAAGCAAGUAGUAGGUAUCGCAGCAUAGGCAUAGCAAAAGAGCGAGCAACUAGCAAGCAAAGAUAGAAGUGAUUUCGAGGGUAUGGUCAUCUUGCCUGAAAUCCCGCAAGAAGAAGAAUGAGUCCAUGAAGAAGACAAACGGGCGUAGUCGAACGGGUCCUCACAAACGCGACGUUAUCGGAACCAACCCGAAGAAACAACACCGGAAAAGAGCAAACAACAUAGUAAACAACCACCACAUAAUCAUGGCAUGAUGCACAAACAAGUAUGAUGCAUGUCCGGUUUAAUGAAGCAUGGCAUGACAAAGUGCACAAACAACCCUACAAAUUAAGUGGAGCUCAAUAUGCAACUCCGUUGCAUAUUGACGAAACACCACAUUCAAGUUAUUUAGUUCGAUCUCGUUUAUGUACCCAACAAUAUUAAAUGUUGUUAAACAAUGGCAAGAGGGGAAGCAUGAUGAAACUAUCUAAUCUAGGCAAGUUUAAAUGAGGCCGAAACAACAAAACAACAAGUCCGGAAACUCCUCAUAUGCAUAUAUUAGGUUUGGUACUGUUCUGCCCUAAACAUAAUUUUAGAGUUGUUAAACAUGCAAAGUAAAGCCAUCAUGAUAAUCUAGGCAUUUUUCUACCCCAUUUACAUAUAAAGUUUAUUAAAUUUGGAGCUACGGUUAAUAAGUUAUGAAAUAAAUCAUUUUAACAUGGCAUAGGAGCAAAUUUAACCAAACAGCAUUUUAACCAUUUCAAACAUGCAUGAAAGUUGCAUAUUAUGAAACUAGAUGAAAAUCUAAGCAACUUUCAUGUUAAGUUUGUUUGAAACCGAUGCACGGUUAUUUAGGUGUGAGCAUUUUUAAAAUGAUGGCAUAUUUUGUAAUUAUGCAUGUGAAGGAACAUUAGUAAAUUCAUAGAACUAAAAAAACAUCUAUGGGCCAAAUCUGGUGCAAGCUGGGCCAACUGAGUAGAAGAAGAAAAAAACGAGGCACUGCUGGGGGCGCCUCACCAUGGGCCAAGGGAGCUGGGCCUUGCUGGAUCUCAGAUGGGCCUUGAGCGCUGGGAGGCCUGCACGCGAUGUGGCAGCUCACACGGGAGGGUGACGCGUCAACAGGCAUCGGGCGAGCUGCACUGCUCGUCUCUGAAGAAAAACGCCAGCGACGGGGAGGUUCAGCGAGAGCCACGGCGAGGCAAGGCCCUGGAGGUGUGCUGGCUGGAACUCCGGCAAGGCGAGGGCAUGGCGUCAUGCGGCGAGGCCAGGGACGGGUGGAUCCGGGGCAGGGUCACCGGAUCCGAGCGAUGGCGCGAGGAACGGAGCACGGGGUGUGCAAGACGCCGGCGGCGUGAGUUCAAGCCCUGGCGGCCAGGGUUACUCCCUGCGAGGGAGACAAAGAGGGCGUGAGGAAGAGAACGGGGAAAGGGAAGGGAGGAGAAGGCAGAGAGGAACGGUAGAGCACUGGCCUGGGUGACCGUAGUCGACCUCCGGCGAGGCAGGAGACCUGGUGGAUCUUCUGACGAGCGGCGCGGGGACGAGGUGAGGAGGCGCUCAGGCGUCUGCGCGCUGGAUCGAGGGCAAGAGGAGCACCUCUCCUUUGGUGCUGGACACGCACGGGAGCAGGGAAGGGGAGGCAGCUGAGAGCUGGUUGGGUGAGGGCGGCGCUCGGGGGUUGGCCGAUGCUCUGCUCGGUGGUGCUCUGGUCGGGGCUCUCGGGAGGAGGAGGUUGGACCGGUGCUGAAAAAGAGGGAGUUGGUCAGGAUCGGCUGGGAAAGGGUGGAUGGAUAUGGGAGGAUCCCGAUGAAGAGAGUGGCGGCGGCGAGGAGGAUUGGUGGAUUGGAUAGGAUAGGCUAGGGUUUGAUCUGAUAUUUAUAUCAGAUGAGUUUUGGGUUAGGGGCUAACUUGUCCCUCCGAUCGCAAUCGGACGAUCGCGAAAAAACAUAUUAGGAAGUCCAAUUAACAAAACAGAGAUGUUUUGUAGAUGUUUGGGGAUGAUCCGGACACGACGGUAUCGACAGUCCGGGUCGGGUCCGGGAAAGCUUUCGGGCGUGCGCGCGAGGAGGGCCGCGGGCUGACGAGAGAGGUUAGGUUGGACAUGGCGGUAGGUAGUGGGCUGUGUAGACGUUCUAGAGAGGAAAGAGAGGGAAAGCCCGGCAACAGUUUUCAGAGACCGAAAACGUCCGACGUUAGACCGGCUAUACUGCCGCUAUAGUUAUCCGUUGGGGCGUCAAACGGACUCCGAACGCGAUGAAACUUGGCAGGCGGCCUACCUACAACAUAAAAACACCGCAUGCCAAUGUUCAUCCCAUUCCGAGAACAUUUUCCGGCCACUUAUAAAAUAAUAUUUCGGACGUGCCGCAGGCGCGUGCAAGUGUGGCUGGGCUCAGAACAGACAACAGAAGGAACUGGGGGACCCGGACGGAUGCAGGUUUUGAAAACAUGAUGAUGCAAUGCACAUAAUGACAUGAUGAAACGCAACACGCAAGCAAAUGACAUGGCAACGACAACGAAUAACUGGACGACACGUGGCACAUAAGUCUCGGGGCGUCACAACACUCCACCACUACGAGAGGAUCUCGUCCCGAGAUCUAGAAUGGCACCAGAGGGGAAAAGAAGAGAAGGAGAAGAGGUAAAACUAAGUUGCUUCUUUGACAAACGAGUGAAACCAAAGAACCUUGAGAAGUUGAACAACUUGAAAGUAAGAAUGCAACGAAGUAGAACAAAGUUGAAAGCACUCCGGUAGGGAAGAGGAACAAGGAAGAACAAAUUCGUAUGGCACUCCGGUUAAAAGAGAUGCAAGACUUGAUAAGGCGAAAAGAACUUGAGCAAAAGGGCAAAACACUCCGGUUAAAUGGAUAGGCAUGAAAAGAACAUGAUUUUUGACCAAACGAGAUAAUGGGUGAAAAGAACAACAUCGCAAUGCCUCCGGAACGAAAGAAUAGAAGAUAGAUAAUUGAAAUAGGAGAAUGGAGAAGAAAAUGUCAACUUCUACCACAAAAGAGCUUGAAAAGGCAUCUUUAGGAGAAGGGUCGAACGGAGUUGUUGGAACACCAACAACGAAAAGAAUACGCUUGAUAUGGUCUUAUGGAAUACAUCUCAAAUUAUGAGGUGACAACCUGCCACUCACGGGAAAAGAAUUGGAUUGGUAUGAACAAGGAGACGAGAAAGCUAUUACACCGGGAGGAUAGAUGAAGAACUUGGGUCAUUUAUGAGCACCAUAAAUAGCAACAGUCCUUAGGAAAGGCUUUAGGUGAAACAUGACACAAGAUAACUCCAACGAAAAGGUUGAUGGAUUUAAAAUACCUCAUUCUUAACAACAUGUGAAUCAUGAAACAUGAGUUGACGUUAUCAAGAAUGACAUAAUAUCACCUCCAAUAAUAUGGUAGAAAGAAUUGCACUCCGGAUUACACGAAGAAGAAUACUUGAGUUCCUUAGAAAAGAAUGUUGAUGAACACUUUGAGAAGGAAAUUAAAUCCUUGAUGAAACCAUCAUGUAGAACCUCCGGUAAUAAAAGGAUGAUCAAACAAAAGGAAAGAGAAAUUGAAAAACACAAGGUGAAACCUUGUAAUGAUUAGAUGGACCCUCACGAUGAAAUAAAUUGAGAGAGCUUGGAACUCCGGAAAAGAAAAGAUGAAACAAGUGAAACCGAGAAUUUGAUGCGCCUCCGGAAUAACGAAUUGAAUUUACACGAUGAAACAAAGAAUAAGAAUUACAUUAUGCUUAUCCUUCACCAAUUAAAUUGAUGACAAACAACGGGUUUGGCAUACUACUUAUUCUCGUUGAAAAGAUUAAGAUAGAUAUAGCAUCAAACUUGGGAAGGUCUUCAACGAACCACCGGUAGAAUUGAAAUAACGAAUAAAUUGAUAUGAUAAGAGAGAAGGAAAAAUCUUGAAUGAACCACCGUAAGCAUUGACAAAGAAUGAAGUAAAGGGAUAAAUCACCGGAAAGGAUUAGAGAACGAAUGAAAAUACUUGAGGGAAAUUAGAUCCACGAGAACAAAAGAUCACGAGCUGAUUAGAGAAUAUAUAUACUUGAAUGAUGCACCGGUAAAAUUGGAGAACGAGAGCUGAAAGCUGAGAAAUGAAUAAUAUUUGAAAAGAUGGCCUUCGGGGAAAAGAAAUGGAAAAACAACUCAUGACAUGCUCCGGAUGGGUGAAAAGAAUUCUCACAUCGAAAACAAUUAUGAGAGGAUGGCAACAAGCUAGAAUCACGAAUCUUGAAGAGAAAUGGAGCAAGGUAUGGAGGAAAACUCUUCUUCGGUCUUCAAAUCCGAGAAUGAUGACGAGAAACAACACCAUGAAUCGUUGAGAUACUCCGGAAUAAGAAGAAUAGAAAAGUUGAACCAAUGAUGAAAAGAAUUUGAAAGAUCUUGGAGAAAUACAUAUGACUGAUGAUGAGUCAUUCUUACGUCAAACUUGGAGAAUACUCCGGGAAAAAUGAGAAGAGUCAGAUAAGAUCCUGGAAAAAGACCUAUGGGUUAGGGCCCACUGAAAGAAACACCGUUGAAAAGGUCGCUUGGAAGAUAGAUUGCACCGGUUGAAUUAAAAGGCUUGAAUGAUAUAACAUCCUCGAAAUAGCUUGAAUGAAAGAAGAGUGGAAACACGAAUCUUCGAGAUAUCUUCGGCACUCUGGAACAAAUGAAUAAUGAAAAGUUAAUGAUUUAGAGGUGCAUCGGCAAGAGAAGGUAUUAGAAAUGAUAAAAGGAUAUAAUCGACAAAUCUUGACUUGAAUCCACCGGAGAUGAAAAGAAUAAAGAAUGGUGAACUUGUGGAGCAUCUUCAUGAGAAUCACCGGAUAAGAACAUUGACGAAAAAGAAUGAAAAGACUUCACAACAAUAAAAGGAUACUUGAAUAAGAAAUCUGGGUCCUUGAAGAAAAACAAAGGGAGGGAGGGUGGGAAAAACAAAGACAAUUUGGAAUGGAAGAAACGAACACCAUUGAGAAACUUAGAAUUGAUCUUGCGGAUGUUGAAAUGAUCGGAUCCACUUGAAGAGAAGCACACCGGUUGAACAAGAUUGGCAUAACAAUCUCAAUUAUCAAGGAGGAUUAGUAUUCGCAUCGGAGUAUGAGAACACCACUUAGGAAAGGUAUGGAAUCAACAUUUGACAUUGAAGCAACUCGAAUACCACAACUGAAAACAAAACAAAGGAUUGGCUUGCAGAAUAAGCCGGAACAAACAUAUGAUAGAGAUUUCGUCCGAAGUUUUCGUGGUGGGGCCUACACGGGCUCGAUCGUACAACACCAUCAUGUACAAGGCAGUGCACAUGACAUAUGAAGCGUCCCCGAGUCGGCAUAGCCAAGGACUCUUUAAGACACAACGAGACCACUGUAAAACCAACCGUGGAUAGGCGGACCACUAGACGUCGAAGCCCAAUUUCAUAUCAUACAUCUGUCGGAAAGAUAUCCUAAGAUCUACUUGAAUACCACUUAUAAACUCCCGAAAUUUUCUGGUUAUGCAAUCAGGUGUUGGGGAUACAGGGGAAGCAUAAUAUCUCACCCAAAUCUAGCAAAUCCAACAUCCAGCUGUAUCCAUCCUUCAACACAUAACCAAGAAACCUUCGGAAAUCAUCUACCUCAACCUUCGAAAAGCAUCCGUUAUACGAGUUAUGGCAAUACUCCCGAACUCCCGCCCCAGUACUGGGUGGCGUCGAGGUUAUCUCACCAACAACUUCAUAAAAGAGAUUUUCGAUGUCGGUGAACUCAGGUAUUCCAGAACUGCAACGAUAAAAUUGUGAUGACAACACCUCGGAGCUCAACUCCCCGGGACACUGCCACAACCCCUUAAUGUCAGGAGGCACCAAGAACAAUGUUCUCGUCACAAAACCAUCAGAACGAUUCCAAGAUACCCGCGUGAUCCUAAAAAAAAUUAGUGAAAUUUGAGAAGAGAAGAGUCAAAACUCUACGUCGGGAUGCCUCACCAGAGCGACGAAGGGACUGAGGAGUAAAAAGAAUUCCUAACUCUCCGACAUAUAUAAUCCUAAAUGACUCAAAACAUUUUUUUCUAGACUCAACAAUGCCAGCUAUUCGAUCAAGCAGGGGGCUCCUAAGGUCGGGGAAGGCUCUGAUACCAACUUGUAACGCCCUCGAUGCGGCUAUAUCUCCCACGUGUCGAAGCACGACUUAGAGGCAUAACCGCAUUGAAAGCAAUGUUGCAAGUGAGGUAAUCUUCACACAACCCAUGUAAUACAUAAGGGACAGAGAUACAUAGUUGGCUUACAAUCGCCACUUCACACAAUUACAUGAAUAAAGCAUUACAUCAUCCAAAUACAAUCAAGGUCCGACUACGGAACCAAAAUAAAAGAAGACUACCCCAAAUGCUACACAGAUCCCCGAUCGACCCCAACUGGGCUCCACUACCGAUCAACUAGAACGAAACAACACAAGGGACAAGAUCUUCAUCGAGCUCCUCCUGAGCUUGGUUGCGUCAUCUGCACGGACUCAUCGGCACCUGCAAGCUG
rnacentral:lncRNA from 1 species